UACAGAGGAGCCAAGCGUUGUCCGGAUUGACUGGGCGUAAAGCGUGCGCAGGCGGUCCGCUAAGACCGAUGUGAAAUCCCCGGGCUUAACCUGGGAACUGCAUUGGUGACUGGCGGGCUGGAGUAUGGCAGAGGGGGGUAGAAUUCCACGUGUAGCAGUGAAAUGCGUAGAGAUGUGGAGGAAUACCGAUGGCGAAGGCAGCCCCCUGGGCCAAUACUGACGCUCAUGCACGAAAGCGUGGGGAGCAAACAGG
rnacentral:rRNA from 1 species